GUGACUUCUUCCUCCAGGCAUGGAUAUUGCCCUACAUAUCUACUGAAAACGUCAUCAAACACAGAUCUUGACCUCAUCUGGCUGAUGUUAGAGAUAAGGGCCGACCUAUAAGAGGAGCCUAAGUCUAGGUUGGCCUUGAACUGGAGAGCCCCUUGCUUGGUGCCUUGUCAGGUGAUAUGAAACAGGAGUCACUCACAUACGACGUUACAAGGACAAGGUUAGUGGAGUAUGAAAGGGGAGGUGGGUGAUAUGAAACCCCAGGGACUGGAGAGGAGGUUGGUGAAUGGGAUUCUGCAUGCGUAGCCCGAUUCUGGGUAAUGGCUACCUUCUCCAGGAGUGUUCAGUAUGCUUCCUGGUUGGUUCUAAGAAAUUGAUGGGCACGGUUGCUAUUGCAGAGAGUCCCCGAGAGUCACCCAUCACAGAGGUCUAUAGACUUAUCUCCCUGCCACUCAACUGGGAUGAACUUGGAUUCUAGCCCAUGGUGCCCCUUACCAACAAUCCAGCGUUUUUCACAGCCAGGGGAAGCCCCAGGAAGCCUGUGCCAAUGUUGC